GCGGGUGUGGUGGAAUUGGCAGACACGCAAGAUUUAGGUUCUUGUGUCGCAAGAUGUGCAGGUUCAAGUCCUGUCACCCGCACCA
rnacentral:tRNA from 3 species